AUCAAUUUCAAUUGUAAAAUUAAAAUUCAUUAUUCAUUAUUUCUAAAUGAAUUUUGCUACACAUUUACCAGAGAACUUUUUGAAAAUGAAAUGUCAAAUACCAUUUUCUUUAUCAUUUUAAUUAACUGACAGAAAAAGCAGCGUUGAGGAAGAAAAUGAAAAAGCUUUUUGUUCAAUUGCUUUUUCAUUUUAAUUUUGAGUCAACAAAUGCAGCUUCAUUUUGAAAAUGAAAAAGCAUUUCUGGUUUUGACUUUUAUUUUUAAUUAUGCUACACAAUUGCUUCCAUAGAAUCCGGCAUGUUUUGUGUUUGCAUGCUAGGGAGCUGUGUCAGGUCUAGUCAGUAGAAUUUGUCAUCACGCUCGCACAGAGGGAGCUGCUCCGCCUGCCUCUGAGGCGGGCAGCCUGCGUUUCAGUGGAGGAGGAGAGAAUGCACAGUGAUGUCAUCUUCAGGUCUCUGCUGUGGUCUGUAAUGGUGCUUCUUGGUGCUGGAGCUGUGCAAGAAAUGCAUCCAUUAAGGCUGCACAGACGGGCCUAACUACGGUUUCGAAUCUGGACUCAUCAUGGACUCCUCCUCUGAGUCCCAGACAGAACCUGAGAAAACUCUGCACAAUGCAGAGUCCAGAGAGCAUCAUGCCGCCUCGGCUGCCGUAGCGAGUGGUGAUGAGCCCGGCCUUCUGACCCCAGGCAGGAUGAGCCAGCGGCAGGUUAAGGAGAAGGACAAGGAGAGGGAGAAGGAGGCAGGCCUCCAAACCCCCAGCAGGGAGCACAUGGCAUCCCCCUCUGCUCUGAGCCCUGGGGUCAGCUACAGCCACGGUAAGCCCCGGCCCCAUCUGAGUUACAGACUCGCUUCCUUGUCUUUUCUUUUCCUGUUCUUUUCAAAUUAA
rnacentral:lncRNA from 1 species